GAAACACGCGACGUCACUCAACGUGACUAAGUUGGCAGCGAAGACGCACAAUAAUAAUCCGAUACUCAACCGAGUCUGUUAAAAUCGCUGAAAGCUUUAAAUGAUGAAUAUUGCGUGAGCUCGAGUUUACGGAAGCGGUUUACGUGUGCACGUCGUUGGGGCUAUCGCUGUUACGAAUCUAGAUUUCCAUUGGCUUGGCGCCGAUUACCGGGUCUGACUACUGCUAGAUCUGUGCAAUAUAAUCGCGGCUUUCACUUUCAAUUUCCGUGAACGUCGGAACGUUCGCGACUCCAAAACGACGGAAACAAUCUUGCGCGCGAGAGGUUUCUAGAUCGCCGAGAUGAUCUCGAAAUCUAGUUGGAUUGGUGCUGUUUUAUUGCGAAGGCGGAGCGAUUACGCGAAUGAAAAUGCAAUAAGAAAGCGCCCGAAUGCAUCGACGGGAAAAUCGACGAGAUCAGAUACCUGUAACUACACGCCGUAACGUUUCGUAAUCAACUUGAUAGCGCCCCUAUCCUUUGCGUUGGUUAUUCUGGUCACCAUUCCUGAUGACCGUAUUAGGAAAAUUCUUUUAGACCCGUUAAUAGGCCGUUGCACACGUAACGCGUAUCGUUGGACCGUAAAAAAAAAAGUAGUUGCGAUUGCAUAAAAUCCGCGCGAACGACUAAACAUGAGAUAUUGCACGAGAUUCGUAAUUAACCGAUAAUCGAUCGUAUUCAUUACGCGAGUUUGCGUAUCUGAAGUCGACAUUCGCAAUUCAAAUUAGGGAAUUUAAUUUUUCAUAAUUAAGAGAAAUCUGUGGUUUAAUUUAAUUGGAUCUCAGUUCUUAGAAUUCGAAUUUUCAGAGAUUAAAAAGACAAAUCUCAACAAGUUACGUCACGUGGCGUUCAAAGUCGUAACGCUUGCGGCUCGUAAUACGGGAAGCGGCGUUUAGAAAGGAAGUGUUUCGCGCGAUCGUAGAACCGUCGAGCAAUCGGCUGAUUAGAUAUAUUGGUGUAUACGUAACUGAUAUUUCGCGAUCGCGUGCGAGCGGUAUUAGACGGCGCGUGUGUCACGCCCGGUUUGAGACUGUUGCAAACUUAAAUGGCAUCGCGGCCUGGAAUUAUGCAUAUCUAACGACUACGCGAAACUUUCACAUCCCGUUUACGCGGAACGAACGACUAUCCCGCGGCCGCGCUCGUGUGACGUGGUCGACCGAGCGUUCCCGCGACCUCGCGAUCGGAAAAGGAUCGAACAUGCCGAUUUCAAAAUUGCCUUGCGCGAUUGAGCGCCGAGUAUAUUUCCAUCGGCCCUGAGAAAUUGCAAAGGCAUUCCGAAGUCUGGCGCAACGAUUAAGAUAUCGUUAUCGACGAUAUUAUUGAUAAUAUAGGACGGUACGAGGCAGAACAUAAUUCCGGUGUUAUCCUGAUUCAAUGGAUAUUUUGUACGUGAAAUGACGGAGAAAGUCAAAAGAAAUGCAACUGCAGAGGAUGCAAGAGUGACGGCAAGGUAUGUACAAUCCCGAGAACGUGAGAUUCGUGAAUGAAGAUGCGUCUACGAGAAAUAGAACCGGUCGCGUGUUAAUCCGUUCACUCAAUGACGAUGAUGAUACUACCUACAACCGGUUUUCGCCGAGAGUCGGCGCGCGAUGCGGUAAGAUUUCUUUGCUUUAUGAAUGAAAGUCGUCGGUUCGUCUGUUUGUGCGUCUGUCUGCCUGUGGAGAAAAACAGCGAGAGUAUCCCAACCAUGACAUUGAAUCAUCGUCGGUUUUAUCGCGAACUCAAUAAGAAGCGGAGAAACGAAAAAGUAUAAUGGAGACAUUAAUAGAUGUAUUAUCGACGUAUGUAUUUAUAAAAGAAAGCUCUUGAGCUUGCAAAACGAUCGUAUUUACUUUCCGUUUGCAGAUAUGUCACCGUGUUCAAAUGCAAUCUUGCAUUAACCUAGUUUCUUGUUUGGUUUCAAUUAAGAAGCGCCAGAACGAAACAUUACGGAAAUAAGCGCUUACAGAGAUAAACUUUCGCAGUGAUUACGGCAGAAUAAGAAAGGGCAGAAUUUUAUGAGUAAUUUCAUUAAGGACUCGAUGUUAUUCAAGAAUCGUUCAAAGAGCUUUCAGAUCAACACUGUUUAUUCACGGCGAAGAAGAUAAGUAUCCAAUCAAGAAACUAUGAUAAUUUCGAAA